rnacentral:rRNA from 1 species
GACAGAGGUGCCGAGCGUUAGGCGGAAUCACUGGGCUUAAAGCGUGUGUAGGCGGACUUCUAAGUACCUUGUGAAAUCCCACAGCUUAACCGUGGAACUGCUUGGUAUACUGGUUGUCUUGGGCCAUCUAGGGGCUACUGGAACAAACGGUGGAGCGGUGAAAUGCGUAGAUAUCGUUUGGAACGCCAAUGGUGAAAACAAGUAGCUGGGGAUGUGCCGACGCUGAGACACGAAAGCCAGGGGAGCGAACGGG